rnacentral:snoRNA from 1 species
GCAACUCCUACCCAUUGGUUGGUCAGAUUUAACCCUAAGACACGACUAAGAUUUAAUGUUGCCAGAGAAAGCAAUGC